AGAAAGAAGCAUGAAUGGUUAGAUGCGGUUGGCUUGAAACCAGCGUGUGAAGGUUCGAUUCCUUCCUUUCUUG
rnacentral:tRNA from 1 species